AGGUGUGCUGAGGUCCCUCAGCAAGGGACACUGCUUUCCCCUGGCAGCCACACUGCUCAGCAUAAAUGCUUUAAAGUGUCAGCAAAUGAUGUGUGGAGAGAAGUAUGACUGCAUUACAGCUUAAAGAGCUUUCACAUUCAGGUCUCUACAGGAGAAGACGAGAUCGUCCGGAUAGUUUGAGAGUAAAUGGGUUACCGGAGGAAGAGCUAAGCAACAUGGCCAAUGCCCUGGCCAACACCACUUGCGAGCGCUGCAAGGGUGGCUUUGCGCCCGCUGAGAAGAUCGUGAACAGUAACGGGGAGCUGUACCCAUGAGCAGUGUUCUGUGUGCGCUCAGUGCUUCCAGCAGUUCCCAGAAGGACUCUUCUAUGAGAAACGGAGUCUCCCUAUGUUGCCCAGGCUGGUCUCAAACUCCUGGGCUCAGGUGAUCCUCGGCCUCCCAAAGUGCUAGGAUUACAGUUUGAAGGAAGAAAGUACUGUGAACAUGACUUUCA
rnacentral:sRNA from 1 species